rnacentral:lncRNA from 1 species
UUGUAUUAUUGUUUUAGGUGUAUUUGUCAAAUGCAGAGGUUUUGAUCCUUCAGUACUUUAACAGGGCUCCAGACACUAAGUCUUUUCACCGUAAAGAAAAAAGAUGUUUGCUUUUGACAAUAUUGUAGUACUUUAAUAUAUGUCUCCUGAGUUCAACCUCUUUUACGAGAAAGGUAAGGAUGAGAUUUUUUAUAUAUAGAAAUUUUUAACAAAUCAAUAAAUAAUACAGGUUCUUCAAAAUACCAUUUGGAGUUCUUUAUGUACUUGGUAAAAAGCGAGAAGACUGAGAUCACGUGCUUUUCAGAGCAGAGGUCAGCCAACCAGGAAUACCUUGGGCAGUUCUCAGUGUGAUUUCAGUGCUGCCUGAAAGAUGCAUUUUACAGAUUAACUUCUCUUCUAUGCACAGCUCUUCUCGGUCUUCAGAACUUGUACUUCUCUAUUGUUUUUAAUUAUGCAGUGAUUGACAGUUAGUUAAUCUUCUAUUGGGAUUCAGAGCCCAUCUGGACAGGGAGUUCUUUUUUCUUCUUUUUUCUUCUUUUUUCUUCUUUUUUCUUCUUUUUUCUUCUUUUUUCUUCUUUUUUCUUCUUUUUUCUUCUUUUUUCUUCUUUUUUCUUCUUUUUUCUUCUUUUUUCUUCUUUUUUCUUCUUUUUUCUUCUUUUUUCUUCUUUUUUCUUCUUUUUUCUUCUUUUUUCUUCUUUUUUCUUCUUUUUUCUUCUUUUUUCUUCUUUUUUCUUCUUUUUUCUUCUUUUUUCUUCUAUGAAAGUAAAGUUAAAAUGUGUAUUGAAAGGAGUCUUCUUUGGGUAGAAGAGUGUCAGACAGAUCAACUAAAAUUACUUCCAAACUUUUCUUAUGAUUGUAUCUUACUGGUUGCGUUUCUUAUAUAAAUAUGUAUAUUUUUCAAAUAUUAGAGAAACUAUGUAGCAUACAACAAAGUAAUAAAGAUCCUGCAUCUUUUGCAGCUUAUUUAAACUGUCUGAUUGUAUGUAUAAAGAUACAAAAUUUAAAGAUAGUUCAGUGGAUAUGAAACAAGUUGAUACUUACCUUAAUACAAGUGAAAACAUGACAGAAGCGAGAAAAGAUGUGUGGAGAAUAAAUCAUCAUACUCCAAUAACUACAGACUCAGAUUUUACCCUACAUAGGGUAAAUGAUGGGAACAUUGCAUCUAAAAUAGGAUUUCAAAUAAAAUCACUUCCUAGUGCUUCAAGGAUUCUGGAUAAGACAGGAACAACAGGAAGAAAUUUGGAAAUGUUGAGGGCUGUUACAGAAAUACGUAUCCUUUUAUUUGCUGUAUCUGAUUUAUUGAAUUUAUUACCAUGACUCUUACAUUUACAAAAUUAUAGUGGUUAGUUUGUAGCCAUAAGAACUCAUGCAUUAUACUGUAAUAGUUUUGAAUUGUAACGUAAUGCUGGGAGUUGAAUGGGAAUUUAUGCCUGGGACCUCCAAAGCUAGAAUGAAAAUAGAAUAACUUAUAAAUAGAUCAUUCAUCACCAAGCAAACUUAUUCUUAUUUCAAACAUGUACAUUUUAUCCUCAAAAUUACUUAUUUUUAAAAUGUAAAAUUUAAAAUUUUUAGUUUGGUAAGAAUUGACAUAAUUUCCAGAACAAGUAAGAACUCAGUUGUUCUGAUGUUGCCAAUUGCAGAUAAAGCUCCUCGUUUUGAAAAUGGGUCAUUUAUUUAGAGGGAUAAUUUUAGAGAAGCCUUUUUAAAAAAUCCUUGCUCACCUUUACUUUUUUUCUGGUUUUAUUUCAUUAUUUUCUUGUAUUACUCUUUUUUUUUUUUUUUUUUGAGUCAUUUAAAAUGAAUAGAACAACUUUUUAAGGCCUCAGCUGUUCAUUGUUUUUGUGACUGUUGGUGUUACAUCCGACUGUGUUUGCAUCCAUAGACUGAUUGGAUGGUUGCGAUUAGUCUGCUUGUGUGGCUUCCGUGCAAGUCCAGACAAGGAUCAUCUCAUUUGUUUGGAUCGUAAGGAAACAAUGCUCUCUUUACUCUUACUUGUAUUUUAGAUAAAAAUGCUUUUGUCUGGAAAAUAUGGAAAAUACACAAUAUUUGCAGUUGAAAAUACCUUUAAUAGCAC